UUUGAGGGAGCCGAGGUAGAGGGGCUGGUUGGCGGGUCGGUCCUGGCCGUAGGUGGCCAGCAGUGCCUGGGCUUC
rfam:Streptomyces sp. 769, complete genome.